CCGGCACAUCCGUAGCCAGUGCACCCGUCGCCGAUCGUUCCGCCGCCGCCACAGACGAUCAACGCCGGCAGCGACCACGUGCCUACAAGGACCGACGCUGGUGAUUCGACUACAUGCUAGGAGUCUGUUUGUUGCGAUCGAUGUGGGCGUGGUGUCUAGGGUCACGACGAAUUGCUCGUCGUGCUUCUCUGUUCGUCGCAAAGCCGCUCCUCGUCGUGGGCAACUCAAUGGGCAUCAAAUCCAUCGCUGGUGAG
rnacentral:lncRNA from 7 species